UGACAGUACUCCUACGGGGAGGCAGCAUGGGGGGAAUAUUGCACAAUGGGCGCAAGCCUGAUGCAGCCAUGCCGCGUGUGUGAAGAAGGCCUUCGGGUUGUAAAGCACUUUCAGUCGUGAGGAAGGUAGUGUAGUUAAUAGCUGCAUUAUUUGACGUUAGCGACAGAAGAAGCACCGGCUAACUCCGUGCCAGCAGCCGCGGUAAUACGGAGGGUGCGAGCGUUAAUCGGAAUUACUGGGCGUAAAGCGCAUGCAGGUGGUUUGUUAAGUCAGAUGUGAAAGCCCGGGGCUCAACCUCGGAAUAGCAUUUGAAACUGGCAGACUAGAGUACUGUAGAGGGGGGUAGGAAUUUCAGGUGUAGCGGUGAAAUGCGUAGAGAUCUGAAGGAAUACCGGUGGCGAAGGCGGCCCCCUGGACAGAUACUGACACUCAGAUGCGAAAGCGUGGGGAGCAAACAGGAUUAGAUACCCUGGUAG
rnacentral:rRNA from 1 species